ACAUAAACGGGAUUGUAGCGGCAUCCUUUUAAAAUUAGCACCUGCUUCUGUUUUGCUGUCAUGCUGAGGUACGAAGCAUCUCUAUCAUCGCAGGCAGAUGCUUCGUGCCUCAGCAUGACAGUAGCAUUUUAAAAGAUUUAGCGAAAAGCCCGACUAACA
rnacentral:sRNA from 1 species